rnacentral:lncRNA from 10 species
AAAAAAUAAUUUGAUGCUUCAAGAUACAAGGCAUAGAUUUUGAGUAACUUACAUCUUAUAAUCUUAUGUAUAUAUAAAAUAAGCAUAUGAAUCUUAGCUAUUUCUAUUAUUACUAAAACCUGUGGAUAUUUUCAUUUGUUUCUGUGUCAUUAUUUUCGGCAUAGAGAAUGUUUAAGUGCAGGCACCCUACCCAGUUUCUAUUCUUUUUAUUUUACCUUUAAUAAAAUUAAUUAAUUAAUUAAUUUUUUAGAGAUGGGGUCUUGCUAUGUUGCCCAGGUUGGUCCUGAACAUCUGGGCUCAAGUGAUCCUUCUUCCUCAGCCUCCCUAGUAGCUGUCACUACAGGCACAUAAUACCAUCAUGACAACCCAGAUUCUAUUCUUGACCUUAUCAUUUCUCUUUCCUUCCACCCAGUCUCCAUGAAUCGUCAUAUCACUAGCCAUGGCUCCAGCUAUCAUUAAUGUCCUCUGGCUUCCAGCUCUUUAGCGCCUUCAUAGAUUUCUCAUAGGCUCAGAGCUGCACUUUCAGCUAGCUACAAGAGACUUCCUCUUGGAUUCCAUAGGUACAUCAAACUUUUGUCCAAAUACAAUAAUCACAUUUAAAAUGCCUAUUCACUUCCCCUCAUUAAUAUAAUAUUAUUCUGCUCACAUAACUGUCUUGCUGUUCCUACUGUCUUAGCAAUCACCAGAUACACAGUAGACUCUUGAACAACACAGGUUUGAACUGUGUGGGUCUACAUAUGUAUGGAUUUUCUUCUGCCUCUGCCACCCUGAGACAGCAAGACCUAUCCCUCCUUUUCCUCCUCCUCAUCAGCCUACAUACUGUGAAGAUGACAAAGAUGAAGACCUUUAUGAUGAUCCACUUUUACUUAAUGAAGAGUAAAUAAAUUUUCUCUUCUGUGUGAUUGUCUUAAUAACUUUUUUCUCUAGCUUGCUUUAUUAUAAAAAUACAGUAUAUAGCACAUACAACAUACAAACUAUGCAUUACAUGACUGUUUAUAUUAUCAGUAAAUCUUCUGAUCAGCAGUAAGCUAUUAGUAGUUAAAUUUGGCUGAGUCAAAAAUGAUACGUGGAUAUUGACUGGCAGAGCAUCAAUGCCCCUGACCCCCAAAUUGUUCAAGGGUCAACUGUACAUCAUGGCUAUAGAGAGAAAGAGAAAGAACUCCGAAGCCACACUACUGGCUCAAGUCCUGGCUUCACCACUUACCAGUCGCAUGACUUUAGACAAUGUACUAAACCUUUCUGUGGUCCAUUUUUAUCAUAUAAUAUGGGGUAAUAGAGAUAAAUAAAUGUAUUACCUACAUCAUAGCAUUUUUAUGAAUAUUAAUAACAUAUUAUAUGAAUUUAUUUAGAACAGUGUCAUAUGUACGUUAGCUAUCAGCUAUUAGCCCUGUUCUUUCUUGCUCUGAUGAGUAAAAUAGCCUCAUAUUCUUACCUGUUAAUACUCUGCCAUUUCAAAUCAAUUUUUAUCAGAUGAUCACUUCACUUUUCUAUUUAAAGUACUUCUAUAACAUUCAUCUAAGUUAAAUUUGCUUGAGAAGCCUACAAUCUCGUGGAUGAGCUAGCCCAUGAAUGUUUAUUAGAAGACUCCCGUUAGUCCUUGGAUAUUCUGGGAAACUAACUCUGAGGUGAAGAUUAGUGUGUAAUGGGUUCAUUAGGAAUUGCUCUUGGGAUCAACACCAGUGAGGGAAGGGACAGAAAUUGAGCAGAAAGAAAUUGAGCCGUGACACAGUCACAAAGGAGGCCUCAGCUGAACUUACUCUGAAGCUGAAAAAAGCUUUGGUUUCUCAUGCCAACUAAGAGGAGGAGAAUGAGAAUUUAUAUUAUCAUGUCAAUGAAUUGAAGGAUGCAGGAAAUGACUUCUGUUGUUAUCCCUAAAUAUUGUGGUCAUUGGUUCUUCACAUGAAAUGUUAUGUUUUUUGUCCUCUGAUGCAAAGAUAAAUACCUUCUAGAUAAAGAGCUCUUCCUGGUGUCUGACAAAAGAGAGGACAUUUUUCCUGUUAUCUCCUUCCACCUCACUUUUAAAGACAAACAAGAAGAUAUUCAUCUGUGGGCAAGUUCCUAGUGCAUAAUGUGGUUCUCAUUUUGGGAGUCCUACAUGUGUUGUUUACACACAAGAUAUCUUCAAAAAAUAUGUUCAUUAAACAUUUUACUUUAUAAUUGAGAGGAAUUAAGGGUGAAAAUUCAUCUUUGUCAGAAAUAUUAUGAAACAUGCACAUAUUCUCAUAACAGUGUGAGAUGUAAAGGAUUAAAGAAAAAUCGUGUGUUUCUUUCCUUUAUUUUCAUAACAUACAUAAAUGAUCAUUUAUGAAAAGAAACAUUUAAGCUUUCCCACUGAAACUUUCUAAAGUCUAUUUGUCAUAGAUUUUAAAAAGUAAUACUGCAUUACAACUAGCCAAGGAAAGCCCCCUCUCUUUCAAGAUUAAGAAUCACCCAGUAUUCUUUUCUACCCCAGGGUAAAAAAAAAGAAACAUAUCCAUUUCUAACGUCAAAUGAUGUCCUGCCAGGCAAAGACUGGUUCCUUUUUUACUCAAUAUAUCCACUUUGAUACAUAGAAGUUGUUACAAAACUGGCAUGUUUUCAGUAGCAAUUCUUCUACCAAAAAACAAAAAAGAGUUAAAGACUUCCUACUCAAGUCCCGCUGAAGAUACAUUUUGAGAUUAAUUUUAUUAUCUUCUUUACUUAAAUGAUACCUUUUAAAUGGGCUUACCAAAAGUAUUUUUAAGUGAACCAUUUUAGUAGCCACUUGUGUAAAUUGUAAGAUUACUUUCAUUAUACUAUAGCCAAUUAUAGAUUAUAACACAUAGUCUUACUAAUAUAGUUAUUGGGUAAAUUAUUUUGUCAGAAAUAUUCACCACUCUCCUCCACUUUCAAGUGAAGGAAUAUAGAUUUUGACUUCUUUGUAGUUGAGCUUGAUCACGAACUUGCUUUAAGAUCAGAUUGGGAGGUACAUUCUUUCUACCCUUUAAAGCUGGGCUCAGCCAUAUAAUUUAUUUCAACCAAUAGUAUUUUAGCAGAUAUUAUAUAAUAUAUUCUUGAAAUAUGUUGUGAGUUUUACACCUGAACUUUUUUUUGUCUUUGCCAACACAAUGAGAAUACACCUGGGCUAGCCUGCUGUCCGAAGAAAUAGAUGAAAGACAAGUGGAACAGAACCAUACUCAAGAGAACUCUGUCUAGGUUGGAUAUGAGGCAGUCCAUAUAAGGAAAUACCAGGAGUGGAAAGAGAGGAAACAGAAUGUAUAUGUUGUAUUCGCUUAUGACACCAUGCAUACUAAUGUCUUUAGCUCAUUGGAUGAGUCCUUACCACAUCAUGAAGGACAAUCUGCUUUACUCAAAGCCCACAAGUUUAAAUGUUUAUCACAUCUGAAAACCUUCAUAGAAACACCAAGACAAAUAUUUGUUUACAAAUCUGGGAGCCAUGGCCUGGACAAGUUGAUACAUCAAAUUAACCAUCCCACUGAUAAACCACAUAUCACAGAUCCCUGCAGAUGGCACUGACUGGUGACGAGCCUGCAUGCCUCUGGCCCAGCUCUUCUGGAUUGCAUUUACUCUGGAGAGGCUAAAUGAGCUCCCAUUGGAUUGUUGUUUGCUCCACCACUGGAAUAAAACCACCCUCCAAAUGAGGAGCUCGGUGCAGGUGAUGGAAACAUGAACUGAGUCAUGGAAAGGGAAAUGAGACAAUUUAUCCUUCAAACUAAAACACUUCCAAGAGUAUCGAAGACACCCCAGGCUUAGAGGAAAAAACAAUAUCCCACUAGAGUAAGUUCUGUCUUUAAAUACAAUCUUUUAAAUUCUGGGUAGAGCAGUCACCAGCCUUUGCAUCAGCAAGGAAUCACAAAUAAAUAGAGCGGUGUUGAUUUAUAUGGUAAGUUAUCCCUAAGAAUCUAUGAUCAGGAAUUUCACUUUGCACGUCACAAACAAUUCUUCCCAUAAAUAUAACCUAGACAUUAUUUAUUCUCCCCAAAGAUUCACACUUGAGCCACUAUUAGAAAUUUCCCAACUCCCUCAGUCAGGUGGUUGCCUUUUCGUGGAGCAUGUGCUACCUACCCCAGGUGUUCUAGAACAGUUUUAGAGCAGGCACUUCAGAUGACUUGCCACAUGCAUUUCCUUGGGAAGUGUUCCUUUCAUUCCUAUGUAAGAAUAUCUGGUGAACAAAACCUUUGUACCUUUAUGUAUCUCAUUCUGGAUACUAUUGAC